rnacentral:rRNA from 1 species
UAAUACGGAGGGUGCAAGCGUUAUCCGGAUUCACUGGGUUUAAAGGGUGCGUAGGUGGGUCUGUAAGUCAGUGGUGAAAUCUCCGUGCUUAACAUGGAAACUGCCAUUGAUACUAUAGGUCUUGAAUUUUCUGGAGGUCAGCGGAAUAUGUCAUGUAGCGGUGAAAUGCUUAGAUAUGACAUAGAACACCAAUUGCGAAGGCAGCUGGCUACAGGGAUAUUGACACUGAGGCACGAAAGCGUGGGGAUCAAACAGGAUUAGAUACCCUGGUAGUCCACGCCCUAAACGAUGGAUACUCGACAUUUGUGAUACACAAUAAGUGUCUGAGCGAAAGCAUUAAGUAUCCCACCUGGGAAGUACGACCGCAAGGUUG